UCUGUAUGGGGUGAAACAUCUUUGCACUGAUGCUAAUGAGCACAAUCAGGAAGAAGAACUGAAGUACAUUCAACAGCAGUGCCACCCCAGCAAGGAAUUAACUGAAAGAUCCAAACUGGUCUUCAAACAACAGAGUAUCCAUGGCUCUUCAUUAUAUGUGCUCUUCUUCAGAGAAAGAAAAAAAUGACGUAAUGUCUAAAGAAGACUUGCGAUUUCAGUUACCGAUCAUCAAGGAAAUUACAGACUAAAGAGUUGUGAAAAGCUGCAGUCCUCUCUCAACAUGUCAUGAAUGUACAAAAUUCAUUGGUGAUUUCCCUGCACUUCAGAGAAGAAAGGUGCAGACUCACAGAAAGGGACAGACCCACAGAAGGAUAUCAAUGAGUUGCUAUGUCAGCAGGGUUGGAGGCACAAAGAAAUAAACAGUAGGUAAUAAAUGCCAGCUCUUCCUUAGUACUUUGGUACUUAGACACUAAAGGGCUCACUUGGCAGGACACAAAAUCUAGGUAACAGACAUCUUCAGGAUGUUUCUUUAACUCAGAGGAAAAAGACUUACGUAACUGAGCAACGGAAAAUAUUACUAGAAGUAUCAUUUUCCAGUUAUGCGCCUGUGAGUGCACACAGCACGCACGGCAAGGUAAUAGCCUUGUGACGAUUCUUGACAUCAUCUACCACAACGAAGAUUUAGUUCUUCCUGGCAACUGGCACUACUACAGAGACGUGGAAAUAAGGACGACUAGUGGGGCACUCCAACAGGAGCGUUUAAAAUAAGAUUGCUUAAAACAAAUACUUUAGCAGUCACCUAAAACAGCAUUAAGCAUAAUAAACUACAUUUAACAAUUUACAUGUCUACUAUUAUGUUUAUACUGCUGAUUUACUUAGCAUGCAUUCUUGGUUUUCUUAUUUUUAAUCUACAAAUACCUCUGCCAAGGUUACUACUAUAUGGGAGAAGGGGAAAGCUUAAUAUACUGUCUAACAUAAUUGUGUACUCAUGCAUAAUUUCAUAAUGUGAUUUCAAAAGCCACCUGCUCCUGGAGACCUGUGUGCAUUCUGCCUAUUUUGGUAAUCAAAUAUUGGAAAGCUCACUUAUAAGGAGACUGCCAACACAAGCGAAGAACAAAAUGUUCUGACCCCCAACUACUGCCAUUGGUCAUGUAAUACUUUAACUCUGAUGCACUGUCUCUGAUGUCCUGGAAUUCGAUGGGCUCAUUUCAUUUACUUGAAAGACUAUGAAAGGUCAAAGAGCACGUGCCUGCAAUGAAGGCAUCCACUUUGUAUGUCAUACAGAAGAGCACAUCAUGCUCUAAACAGGCUAUUUUUAAUUCAAUUUAAAUAUGCAGUUAUCUCUUCUGAGGUUUUGCCAUUUCUAAAAACAUGGCGAGCUUCUCAAAAUUAUGUACAGGAAUGAGUAGCUCUAAUCAUACUAAGCUCAACAACAGGUAUUAAAUUGCCAGAGAUACUUUGGAAAUGCUAGUACAGAGAAACAUUACACAGACAAAAAAAGGAAUGUGUAGAGUAGAUGGCAUAUUACUGAGGUUAUCCUAGCCUAGCUAGCACAGAGGAAUAGUAUGGGACAGUAGCACUGUUAGUAGUGGGUGAAAAGCCAAAAGUUUGAGUAUGUAUAUUAUUUAUUAUUUUAAAUUUGCAUAACUGAUGAAGAACCCCCAAAUUCUGCAUUUAAUAAAGUAAUGGCUGUAUUAGAAAAACCUAGUAGUUGCACUGACAUAAUAAAUCAAUGAUUCAUUAAAUAAAAAACAUGGAUUAAUUAUGAAUUAGCACUGACAACAUUAUUUUGAUUGGAUGGGAAAAUCAAGUACAAUCGAAAAAGGAUAAAUUACUUUUUCCCCAACCAAACCAGCAUUUUGAAUAAAACUUUGUGGUUGGGGAUGUAUGUUAUCUGUGUGAGUAUGUAAGGAUGUGUAAAUUGAAGUGACAGUUCUCACUCUCCUCUAUCAUCCAUCAACUUGGAACUUGCCUGGUGCUUAAGUAUUCAAGCCUGAAUACCGCAUAGUCUGAAUUCUGCAUAGUCUGAAUAUGAGUAGGUCUGACAUGAACAUACCGCGGGCAUAGCUAGCAGCUAGGAAGAUACCUGGCUUUAUGGCUUUCUUACCAAGCCUUCUGAGUUGGACUUAAACAACUGGGUAUCCCUCUUCAAAAGUGUUUUCAAGUAAUUAUUCUGGACCUAUCACCUAGAAAACAUCAGUAAACAGUAGCCACAUAAUAAUCUAUAAGUUUACACUGUCUAUAUAAUUUCAUAGUGACCCUCAGAAAUUACAUAGGGUGACCAGUAGCAGCAAUUACAUACAGCACUCUGAGGAAUUAACUUCUAUAAUCAAACACAAUGAAAUAUUUUGCAGGGCUCAAGAUAAUUUGAGGAAGGCACAUUCCUGUCUUUUACUGGAAAAAAAAAAGUUGAAGUUUUUCACUUUUUUGCUUUCUGCACUAAUAGCAAGCCUCAAAGUACACAAUUUCAAAAGAAGUGCACUAUCAGAUUUAGCUUGAGGUUCUUCAGUCUUAUCAGAUGAUUUGGGCUUCAAAUGCGUGGAUUGUGAUUUCAGUGGAUCCUGGAAAAAACCUGGCUUGUGAAAACCAGUAUUUAAGCUGGAAGUUAAUGGUGUCCCAUAGAAGAAUCACAUUCACAUUCAGCAAUGAAGAAAUGAAGUCUAGGAAAUGACCUUCAGUUCAUAUGAGUGAAGAAACACAGAAAAAAAAAUGGUGCUAUGGGUUUAAUGCAUGAAAUAUUAUUGGAUAUGGGCAAAACAAGCAGACAGAGCUUUUGAAGAAAGGAAUAAUCAGACUUGGAUGUUCUUCUGCAGCAAAACUAGCCUCUAAGAGUUUAGCCAAAAACCAAAGAAAAGGGAGCUAAGAAAUGAUGCUAAAACAUUGUUAUCCAAUGUUGACCUUGGCAAAUCAAGGUCAUUAGAAGAAUUUUGAAAGUACUUUAUGAAGCAGAACUUAUUGAAGUUGGAAACAGUGCAUCUAAAUUAUUUGUUGCUAAUUAACCAAAACAAAUUGAUUCUAUUUAAUCAAAUCAUUUAGGCACAGACUUAAAGCCAUCCUCGUCCAGUAAAAUAUUAUAUAUGUAGUUGGUUUCAUCCAGGUUUUAAAGAGCGAAGCUAUAACUCUGAAAACAUCUUAAAUUGCUUCUCAAAAUACAAUCCGCACAGUAAAUGCAAACAGUGACUCAAAUCUUCCUUUGAAUUAGAUAUAACAUUUCAAGGCUCACUGCAAAGGACACCUUUGUUCUUAGCAUACGUUAAAAACAUAUUCACUAAAUACAUAUUCCCGUAUCAAAAAAGGUAAUUAUCUUGUAUUACCUUAUACAACCUUUCCUCUGCACUAAAACUAGAAUUACUUUGUUUUCUUAAAUUGAACACAAGUUUCCAUGGAUUAAUUGGAAAGAUGGAAUAUUUUUCAUAAAUUUGAGAAAUUAUCAAGCAAUGCUCAUUACGUGCAACAAAGAAUCUUUAUUAUUGAAAUAAUUCUUAUUCUUUCAUUUUCUAAUGUAAUUGAAGUUUCCUUCAGACACCUUUGAAGUGAUAUCUUGUCUUUUAGAAGACAACACCGCCAUGCUCGAAACAUGGAGAAAUUAAAUAAAGAAAUUAAAUAAAGUACCAAGACUAUAUUUCCAUUUGUUGGGUUUGGACCACAUAUGACGAAGCAAGAAGCCUACAGGAAACAGUAUUUUCAACUGCACAUAUUAUCAGACCAGUGAAAAGAAGAAUGACUAAAGAUGACUCGUAAUCAUUACCCUCUGUAGUCUUUGGACGUUCAUAUGUGUGGGGACUCCUAGUAGUGACUGACACCGGAAUGGUUGCUGCUGGAAUAAAGAGAAAUUUCUUGAGACAAAGACAUGUGCAUCUGUACCUAUUUCUCAACUUCUGGUAUGGCUCAGCUGCUCUUGCUUCCCAAUUAAAAUCCGCCUCCUCCCCACUAUUCAAAUGGAAGCAAUGACUAAGUAAUAAAUGUACUGAAUGUUCUUAAGCAACAGUAACGACCCUGUGCAGCUUUUGCUGGGCUUUGAAAAUAAAAGGUGCAUUUACAC